AUAACAGUAAAAUAAAACCCCACAGUCUUAGCACCCUGACAUAGUAACUUAUUACUUAAAAUUCUUUUAUCUUCUAAAUAACUAAUACAUGUGAGUAAUUUCAUAGGCAAAACUGUAUUUAUUACAGUAUAGUAUUUAUUUCCCCACUGUUAUUCAGACCAGCCCUUCCUUCAACUACAGUUCCUUGCAUUAUAAGGAUCCUUCCUGAAUUCUAUAUUGGCAACAUUUGUCUUUUUAAUUUGAGCCUACAUUGAAUUGUGUUCUAAUCAACCAGCAAAGCAGAGCCCUCCUUUCCCAUUCAUGUCCACACCUCUAUCAUACGACAUAUAAAAAGAAAGGGCAGCUUUUUGCUCUAUUGUAUUAGAAGAUUCCUUUUUUUUUUAGUUACUACUUUUCAGGACGUCUGAGCUUUCCCCCUUUUUAAAUUUUCAGUUCCUAUGUUUUCCCAUGAAGCUCCAAUGUAUAGAAACAAUUAGUCCAUGAUAUGGAAUUAAGAUAUCUAUAUUAAUAAGUAAUAGUAGCAGCAGCAGCAUUGAUUUCUCCUGUUCCCAGCCUUGUGUUCACAUAUAAUUUAUUACUAGUUACCAAAAUGAUAGCUUGUACAGAUUCUCACUACUCCUCAGAGCAGUUCUGUAAAGUUUUUAUCUUUAGUUUUAUGUGUAAUGUAACUGUGACUCAGGAAAAUUUAAAAUAAGUUUGCCCUAAGUCACAUAGCUAAAAAUAGCUAUAACCAAUGAGACUCUUGAGUGACCUAAUUGUAAAGCCUGUGAUGUUUUUAUGGUGAGCCUAAGACAGAUAUGUUUGAAUGCAAAUUUUCUUUUUCUUUCAACACUUUAAGGUUUGUUGAGAUGUUCAUGACCUUCUAAUAGGUAUACCCAUAGUCUGGGGUUUUUAAUCUGCUGAAACUGAUUUUCUGUUUGGUGUAUUAUAAACUCCCAAUGAAUUUCCAAAUAGAUAAACAACCUAAACAUAAUAGGACUGUUGAAUAGAUCUUGCUAGGCUUAUAGAACGCAGCUUUUCUUGCUUAAGAUCAUGACUUUCCUAUUUUUGUUGCCUCAUUAUAGUUGAACUAGAGGCUGGCUAAAUAGUACUUAUAUUGAUGAUUAAAGUACAUGAAGUACUAUCCUAUAUA